AUGGCCGGUGCUAGCCAUGUCGUGGUUUUCCUUGUCUUCUCAAAUUUGGCCAUAGCCAUGGGCGCCACCCCUCCUAUCUUAAAUCCUUACGUAGGGAAGUGUAAGAGUAGUUGUGAGGAAGAGCUCAAUAUAUCUUUGUACCUGCACCAAGUAUUCGCUGGAGCAGCCCGCAACCAAGAAGUAAUUCUCAGUCCCGGCUUUCCUAACUCGUUUGGGGUGAUAGCAGUUAAUGACUGGACUAUGCAUGCCACCGCUAAUUCCACUGCAAGUAUCAUUGCUCGGGCAAAGGGAAUGCAUAUCCAGGCUACCCAAAGCCAGGCCAAUGGCUUUGCUUGGUUUGUUCCUUUCAGCAUGGUCUUUGAGGACUCCAGCUUUGGUGGGUCUACAUUACAAGUGAUGGGGGCAAUUAGUGGUGCAAAUGGUGAGUGGGCUAUCGUGGGAGGGACAGGAAAACUGUCGAUGGCGCGUGGUACCGUAAACUUCACAGAAGUCCAGCCACAGAGCAACCCAAACAGUGAGAACUACAGAAAAAUUGAUAUCCAUGCAUUCUACACACCAUCGCCGGCCGUUUAA
rnacentral:rRNA from 1 species